UACGUAGGCAGCAAGCGUUGUUCGGAAUUACUGGGCGUAAAGAGUGUGUAGGCGGCUUUGCAAGUCGGAUGUGAAAUCCCCGGGCUCAACCCGGGAAGUGCACCCGAAACUGCAGGGCUCGAGUACCGGAGAGGUUGGUGGAAUUCUCGGUGUAGAGGUGAAAUUCGUAGAUAUCGAGAGGAACACCGGUGGCGAAGGCGGCCAACUGGACGAGUACUGACGCUGAGACACGAAAGCGUGGGGAGCAAACAGG
rnacentral:rRNA from 1 species